AGGAAGUUGGCUCAGGUGAAGUCUUCUUGGUGUGCCCGCAGUCCUCUAUUUUUUGUACCUCUGGAGGGAGAGGGAGCAAAAGGCUCGCGGGUUUCCUUACCUACACCAAACAUGUGGUAGGGAUACUCACUGAACACAAGUGUGGCACCAUCUUUCAUUUGCUUACCGUCUUGAGAAGAUAAAGGCAAAAGAAAUGGUUGUGCAGUGAGGCCUCUAAGAAGUAAACCUAAGAGAGUAAAGGAAAAGAUUUUUCUUCCCAACAGCCAUAGAUGUUACUGCAAAAUAACUUAAUUUUGGAGUCAGUUACCCAUAGUCCACUGUGGUCUAGAAGCAGAUGAUCUUGCUGAUAUAUCAUCGGAAGGUCCAUGGUAGCCUAAUGCUACAUCACAACGCCUGUCACUCACUUCACUUCAUUUCAUCAUGUAGCAUUUUAUCAUCUCAUAGCAUCACAUGAAGAAGGUUUCAGUUAUCUGUGAUCAACCACAGUCUGGAAACAGAUGAUCCUCCUUCUGACAAAUGGUCAGCAGAUCAGUAGCAGCCUAACGCUACGUCACGCUGCCUGCAUCAUUCGCCGCACUUCAUCUCGUUUCAUGGGCAUUUUGUCAUCUCACAUCAUCACAAGAAGGGUGAGUACAAUACAAUGAGAUAUUCUGAGAGAGAGAGAGAGAGAUAGAGCGAGCAUAUUCACAUAAUGUUUAUUAUACCAUGUUGUUAUUUCUGUUCUACUUUAUCAUUAGUUAUUAUUCAUCUCCCACUAUGCCUAAUUCAUAAGUUAAACCUUAUCAUAGGCAUGUGUGCAUAGGAAAAAAACAUAGUAUAUAGGGUCGGUACUAUCUGCAAUUUCAGGUAUCCACUGGAGUUCUUGGAACAUAUUCUCUACA